CGGGGUGAGUAACGCGUGGGUAACCUGCCUUGUACAGGGGGAUAACAGUUGGAAACGGUGGCUAAUACCGCAUAAUGUCUACGGACCAAAGCAGGGGCUCUUCGGACCUUGCACUAUCGGAUGAACCCAUAUGGGAUUAGCUAGUAGGUGGGGUAAAGGCUCACCUAGGCGACGAUCUCUAGCUGGUCUGAGAGGAUGAUCAGCCACACUGGGACUGAGACACGGCCCAG
rnacentral:rRNA from 1 species